GUCCAGCGAUGACCUCCAUUUUGUGCCAAAUUUCUGGGCCUCUGAGACACACUUAGUGAUGGGAC